rnacentral:tRNA from 1 species
UGGGGAUUGGCUUACCUUCAGGGACACAUGACUCUGGAUCAUGGAAUCGGGGUUUGAAUCCCUGCUUCCCAGCCA